rnacentral:rRNA from 1 species
CCUACGGGAGGCAGCAGUGGGGAAUUUUGGACAAUGGACGCAAGUCUGAUCCAGCCAUGCCGCGUGCGGGAAGAAGGCCUUCGGGUUGUAAACCGCUUUUGUCAGGGAAGAAACGGCUCUGGUUAAUACCUGGGGCUAAUGACGGUACCUGAAGAAUAAGCACCGGCUAACUACGUGCCAGCAGCCGCGGUAAUACGUAGGGUGCAAGCGUUAAUCGGAAUUACUGGGCGUAAAGCGUGCGCAGGCGGUUAUGCAAGACAGAUGUGAAAUCCCCGGGCUCAACCUGGGAACUGCAUUUGUGACUGCAUAGCUAGAGUACGGUAGAGGGGGAUGGAAUUCCGCGUGUAGCAGUGAAAUGCGUAGAUAUGCGGAGGAACACCGAUGGCGAAGGCAAUCCCCUGGACCUGUACUGACGCUCAUGCACGAAAGCGUGGGGAGCAAACAGGAUUAGGAUACCCUGGUAGUCCACGCCCUAAACGAUGUCAACUGGUUGUUGGGAGGGUUUUCUUCUCAGUAACGAAGACUACGCGUGAGUGUACCGCCGUGGGAGGUACGGCCGCGAGGUAGAACGUACAAGAGAGUUAGACGGCGUGAGACGUAGCCGACGGACGACCGACCGAGGGGAGGGUUAGGG